UACGAAGGGUGCAAACGUUGCUCGGAAUUAUUGGGCGUAAAGCGCACGUAGGCGGCUUUGCAAGUCCCAUGUGAAAUCCCACGGCUCAACCGUGGAAGUGCAUGGGAAACUGCAGAGCUUGAGUACUUAAGAGGAUCGCGGAAUUCCCGGUGUAGUGGUGAAAUGCGUAGAGAUCGGGAGGAACACCCGUGGCGAAGGCGGCUCACUGGGCCGGUCCUGACGCUGAGACGCGAAGGCGUGGGGAGCGAACGGG
rnacentral:rRNA from 1 species